UUUCCGUAGGUGAACCUGCGGAAGGAUCAUUAUUGAAUGAACUUGGUGUGGUUGUUGCUGGCCCUCUUGGGGGCAUGUGCACACCCACCAUCCUCAUCUCUCCACCUGUGCACCUCUUGUAGACCUGGGAUAGAUUUUCCGAGGCAACUCGGUCUGGAGGAAUGCUGCCCUAAGCUUUCUUUGUAUUUCCUGGUCUAUGUUUUUCAUAUACCCGAUAGCAUGUAACAGAAUGUAUCAUUUGGGCGCUUGUGCCCUAUAAACCUUAUACAACUUUCAGCAACGGAUCUCUUGGCUCUC
rnacentral:misc_RNA from 1 species